UCCGGCAGCUUGCACUCCACAGAUAUAAUAAAGCCCUUUCUCCUCCUUCCCCUUCUCUGUCUGUAUCAUAUCGGUGUUUCCUGGGCGAGGCGGGGCGGCAACACUGAGCUGCUUUCUCAGCUUGAUCGAAGAAGCCCUCCUUACAUACGCGACUGUGUUUUGGCCAUGGCAACCGUACCUGGGGUAGACGCACAGGUAGGUCUGUCCCUCCCUCCAGCCAAGAGAUCAAAUCCCGAGGAGGAAGAGUGUGCUGACCGAGAGACUGUCAAGAAGAAUCGCAUCGAGGAGGAUAUGCCGGAGGUGGGGAAGAUUCAUCGGAGGAGGAUGAUGUAAGAGGAUAUUUGGACCAUUUUUUUCAUUCAUUGUUUGCGAUAUGUCCAUAUGCAUAUCGUUCUGGUUCUAUUUUUCGGUUGCGGUUUGUGUCAAUUACUGAUUCCAUAUCUUUUAUAUUCUAUUGAUCUUUUUGGAUGAGGAUAGAUAAAAGUUAUAGAGUAUGAGGACUCGGAUGAGGAUGAGGUAAGGAUAUUUAACAUCACCUAUCAUUGUUUGAGAUACACUUAUAUGCAUGGUUCUUGUUCGGUCUUUUCGUUGUGGCAUAUACUGGUUACUGAUAUCAGAGGUUAUAUUAUGUUAAUUUUUCUGGGGAGGAUAGUUAUUGGAUGAGAUUGACCUCCAGGAAUACUACCGAGCUGUCUCCGAGAGUGAGGGCUAUGAUUGUGGAGAUUUGAAUGAGUAUAAGUUCCAGUCCUGGAUGCUGUGCCCACUGCCCAAGGUUAAGCAUGAACACAUUAAAGGAUUCGUCAUGGAAGCUCUUAAUGGGUACAACGAGAACAAGAAAACGCAGCUAGUGUUCGAGAAGAUCGAGAAAGCUAACAUGGCAAUGUCAUGUGUAGCGACAUACUAUGUCACCUUCUUGGCUACGGACCCGGAGGAUGGUGAUCGCCCCAAAACCUUUCAGUGCCGCAUCCAUGAAUUCCUUCAGGGGUUCGAGGUCGAGCAGAUUAGGCCGAAACCUGCUGCUGCCUAGUCGUGUGUCUGGUUGGCUAAGGGAGUCCUCGUUGCUCUUCCUUUUGGCAAUUACAAGAGGAAACGACCGGCUCGAUGUUAAUCUGAUGAAAUUCGAAGAAAGACAACCUAAAUAGUCGAUAGAUGGACAAUAGCAGAAUAUUAUGGCGUUAGCUUUUUGAUAAAUAAAUUAAGUCGAAUGGACCUUAUAAUUAAUUAUUUGCACGCAGUACCUGUUAAAUUUCAAUCCUUUUCCUUCUCCUCAUCCUCUUAAAUCGUGUAUGAACUAACCUCCUUUCGUAGAUUCCAUUGAAUAUUGAAUUGGAUUUAAUUUGCUUAUCAAA